GCCAACCCUCUUUUUAAAUCUCUUUGGAGAGAACAGUAUUUUUUGGAGCAGUAUCUUCCUUGAAAACAAAAUAUGAUUGAUUUUCCCUGCCAAAGUGUGCCUCAGAGCAUGCUGGAAGAGAAUCAGACCUGGACUUAAAGGAACAGAUAUAUAUAUGAAAAUUGCAACUGCCUAUGAAUAGUCAAUGCUAUAAGCAAUC